rnacentral:misc_RNA from 1 species
UUUCCGUAGGUGAACCUGCGGAAGGAUCAUUAAAGAGUAAGGGACCUCUAGGCCCGACCUCCCACCCCUUUGUUUACCAAACCAAUGUUGCUUCGGCGGGCCCGUCUUAGGGCCGCCGGAGGACCGUCGAAACGUCCUCUGGCCCGCGCCCGUCGAUGGCCCGUAUUAUUAAACUCUGAGCCAAACGUGUCCUGUCUGAGUGAUUAUUAUCAAAAUUAAAGCAAAAACUUUCAACAACGGAUCUCUUGGUUCUG